AUUGAACGCUGGCGGCAGGCCUAACACAUGCAAGUCGAACGCGUGGCGGACGGGUGAGUGAAGUCUGGGAAAAUGCGUGUUGGAGGGGGAUAACUACUGGAGACGGUAGCUAAUACCGCACACCAUCAGAUGUGCCCCGAUGGGAUUAGCUAGUAGGUGGGGUAACGGCUCACCUAGGCGACGAUCCCUAGCUGGUCUGAGAGGAUGACCAGCCACACUGGAACUGAGACACGGUCCAGACUCCUACGGGAGGCAGCAGUGGGGAAUAUUGCACAAUGGGCGCAAGCCUGAUGCAGCCAUGCCGCGUGUAUGAAGAAGGCCUUCGGGUUGUAAAGUACUUUCAGCGGGGAGGCGUUACCCGCAGAAGAAGCACCGGCUAACUCCGUGCCAGCAGCCGCGGUAAUUC
rnacentral:rRNA from 1 species